GACGAACGCUGGCGGCGUGCUUAACACAUGCAAGUCGAACGGUAAGGCCCUUCGGGGUACACGAGUGGCGAACGGGUGAGUAACACGUGGGUGAUCUGCCCUGCACUUCGGGAUAAGCCUGGGAAACUGGGUCUAAUACCGGAUAGGACCCUGGGAUGCAUGUCCUGGGGUGGAAAGCUUUUGCGGUGUGGGAUGGGCCCGCGGCCUAUCAGCUUGUUAGUGGGGUGAUGGCCUACCAAGGCGACGACGGGUAGCCGGCCUGAGAGGGUGACCGGCCACACUGGGACUGAGAUACGGCCCAGACUCCUACGGGAGGCAGCAGUGGGGAAUAUUGCACAAUGGGCGCAAGCCUGAUGCAGCGACGCCGCGUGAGGGAUGACGGCCUUCGGGUUGUAAACCUCUUUCAGCACCGACGAAGCGCAAGUGACGGUAGGUGCAGAAGAAGGACCGGCCAACUACGUGCCCGCCGCCGUAAAAC
rnacentral:rRNA from 1 species